rnacentral:lncRNA from 1 species
ACCCUCUCGUAGCUCACCCCGCGAGGCUGGACAGCUCCCGGAACCCCGGAACCGGGAUCUAUUUCGGGGGCUCGGCUGCGUGGCGCCCAGGACUCUCCAGGGUCUCCCAGGAUCGCUCCCCGAAUUCGAGUCGCCCCCUCUCUCUUUCGGGAAUACCAGCUGAUGUCAGUCCGCCAGCCAAAACCAGGGAGGAGAAGCGGGAGCCAGCCCUCUGGAGUCGGGAGAAGGUCUGGGGAGUGGGGUAGAGGGGAAAGCAAAGUCCAAAUACCUUCCCUUCAGACACCUCCUGGGGCCUAGACCCCACAAACCUGUUGUGGGGAGGGCAAAAUACGAUGACUACGUUCCCAGGAAGAAGGUGCCACAGCUCUUCAGGACCACGGUUGGGAGAAAGAAUGGAGGGGUUUUAGAACCUUCAGUGUGCGACUUCAUGUGCCAGUCUUCAUCUCAGGAUCUCAAGCUCUUGGAUCAUGGGCACGGAUAACCUGUUGUCCUCCUCUAUGGUCAAGAGGCUGCUUUUGCAAAGAAUCCAGUGGGAGAGAGUCAAUGGCCUGCUUGACGUGAACUCCAAAGUCCUCCUGGAACAGGGGCUCACUCUGUUGCCCACAUUGGAGUGCGGUGGAAGAAUCAUGGCAUGCUGCAGUCUUGAGCUUCUAGGCUCAAGAGAUCCUCCUGGUUCAGUCUCCCAAGUAGCUAGGACAGCAGGCAUAUUUUUUGUAGAUAUGGGGGUCUUGCUUUUUUGCCGAGGCUGGUCUCGAACUCCUGGCUUCAAGCAAUCUUCCUGCAUCAGUCUCUUAAAGUGUUGGGAUUCCAGGCAUGAACCACUGCACCUGGCCCUUGGGAAGUUUUAUUUUUAGCCUAGGGUUGGGGUUAAGUUUGCAUCAUGAUGUUGAGACCUCCAAAGGAGAACUUAUUGUAGUCAUUCCUGAGCUCAGGUGUCCAAACUGUCUAAUUGGAGAAUCUGGGAAUUUUCUCUCGUUUUGAUUUUCCUCUUCCACUUUUCCAUGCCAGUUGGAUGUUUGAAUGUUUUUAUCGACCUCUGAGAGCAUCCGGGUAACUGAGGGUUUACUUUGGGGGUCUUUGGAGAUGAAUAGGGACAGGAGACCUCACCUUUCUUUUCCAUGUAGCCAUAGGAGAUAGUCCCACGAUCUGAUGAUCUGUAGCAAUGGGUAGAGGAAGGGCCGUAUUAGGAACAGAAGCUAGUUUCGUCAUGGGAAGUCCCCUGUUUUCCACUCCUGAGGGCCCUCACAUUCCCUUUCUAAGCCCCUUUCUGCUUUUGCUAUUAAAAAAUACAGUUUUUAAAUUGCAA